GGGAAUGUGGCUCAGUGACAGAGCUCUUGCCUUGUAUGCAACAAGGCCCUGAGUUUGAUCCCCAGCACCACCA
rnacentral:tRNA from 1 species